rnacentral:tRNA from 1 species
GCCUCUGUAGCCCAAUUGGUAGAGUCAGCGCUAUUAAACAGCGUACAGUGGCAGUUCGAAUCUGCCCGGAGGCA